rnacentral:rRNA from 1 species
ACCGGAUAACAACAUGAAUCGCAUGAUUCAAGUUUGAAAGGCGGCGUAAGCUGUCACUUUAGGAUGAGCCCGCGGCGCAUUAGCUAGUUGGUGGGGUAAAGGCCUACCAAGGCAAUGAUGCGUAGCCGAGUUGAGAGACUGAUCGGCCACAUUGGGACUGAGACACGGCCCAAACUCCUACGGGAGGCAGCAGUAGGGAAUCUUCCACAAUGGACGCAAGUCUGAUGGAGCAACGCCGCGUGAGUGAAGAAGGUUUUCGGAUCGUAAAGCUCUGUUGUUGGUGAAGAAGGAUAGAGGCAGUAACUGGUCUUUAUUUGACGGUAAUCAACCAGAAAGUCACGGCUAACUACGUGCCAGCAGCCGCGGUAAUACGUAGG